rnacentral:rRNA from 1 species
AAGGACAUGUGGACAGUAUGGGAGUGAGAAUGUUGGCAUGAGUAGCGAGAUGUGGGUGAGAAUCCCACAGGCCGUAAACCCAAGGUUUCCAGGGGAAGGUUCGUCCGCCCUGGGUUAGUCGGGACCUAAGCUGAGGCCGAAAGGCGUAGGUGAUGGACAACAGGUUGAUAUUCCUGUACUACCGAUAACCGUUUGAGAGAAGGGAUGACACAGUAGGAUAAGCUAAGCACACUGUUGGUUAUGUGUGCCCAAGCAUUGAGGCAGUCAAAGUAGGCAAAUCCGCUUUGAUAAUGCUGGGAUGUGAUGGGGAGCGAAAUUUAGUAGCGAAGUAGCUGAUUUCACACUGUCAAGAAAAGUCUCUAUCGAGGUUAAAGGUACCCGUACCGCAAACCGACACAGGUGGGUGAGGAGAGUAUCCUAAGGCCAGCGAGAGAACUGUUGUUAAGGAACUCGGCAAAAUGACCCCGUAACUUAGGGAUAAGGGGUGCCACCAUCAGGUGGCCGCAGAGAAUAGGCCCAAGCGACUGUUUACCAAAAACAUAGGUUUCUGCUAAGUCGCAAGACGAUGUAUAGGAGCUGACGCCUGCCCGGUGCUGGAAGGUUAAGGGGAUCUGUUAGAGCAAUCGAAGCAGUGAACUUAAGCCCCAGUAAACGGCGGCCGUAACUAUAACGGUCCUAAGGUAGCGAAAUUCCUUGUCGGGUAAGUUCCGACCCGCACGAAAGGCGUAACGAUUUGGGCACUGUCUCAACAACAGACUCGGUGAAAUUGUAAUUCCGGUGAAGAUGCCGGAUACCUGCGACAGGACGGAAAGACCCCAUGGAGCUUUACUGUAGCUUGACAUUGGGUCUUGGUACUACAUGUACAGGAUAGGUGGGAGGCUUUGAAACCAGGACGCCAGUUUUGGCGGAGCCAUCCUUGGGAUACCACCCUUGUAGUACUGGGACUCUAACCAUAGGCCAUGAAUCUGGUCUUGGGACACUGUCAGGUGGGCAGUUUGACUGGGGCGGUCGCCUCCCAAAAGGUAACGGAGGCGCUCAAAGGUUCUCUCAGUACGGUCGGAAAUCGUACGUAGAGUGUAAAGGCAAAAGAGAGCUUGAUUGCAAGACAUACAGGUCGAGCAAGGAUGAAAAUCGGACUUAGUGAUCCGGUGGUUCUGCGUGGAAGGGCCAUCGCUCAACGGAUAAAAGCUACCCUGGGGAUAACAGGCUUAUCUCCCCCAAGAGUCCACAUCGACGGGGAGGUUUGGCACCUCGAUGUCGGCUCAUCACAUCCUGGGGCUGUAGUAGGUCCCAAGGGUUGGGCUGUUCGCCCAUUAAAGUGGUACGCGAGCUGGGUUCAGAACGUCGUGAGACAGUUCGGUCCCUAUCCGUCGCAGGCGUAGGAAAUUUGAGAAGACCUGUCCUUAGUACGAGAGGACCGGGAUGGACGUACCUCUGGUGUACCAGUUGUCCUGCCAAGGGCAUGGCUGGGUAGCUAUGUACGGAAUGGAUAAGCGCUGAAAGCAUCUAAGCGCGAAGCCAACUUCAAGAUAAGAUUUCCCACCGCAAGGGUAAGACCCCAGAAAGACUAUCUGGUUGAUAGGUCGAAGGUGUAAGUGCAGCAAUGUAUUUAGCUUAUCGAUACUAAUAGGUCGAGGACUUGACC